rnacentral:tRNA from 1 species
GGGUGCGUAGCUCAGCGGAUAGAGCAACCGCCUUCUAAGCGGUCGGUCGUAGGUUCGAUUCCUACCGCACCCG